rfam:Prevotella salivae DSM 15606 genomic scaffold SCAFFOLD1, whole genome shotgun sequence.
UGGCCUUAGGGCUAACAUAAGAUAUGCUUAUCUCCGUUGGGAGAAAGUUUUGUUUAAUUAGUCGUGUAUACUCGAGCUCGUGAGAGUGUAAGUAUACAAAAUCUUAAAAGUUGAGU